CCUACGGGUGGCAGCAGUAGGGAAUAUUGCUCAAUGGGGGAAACCCUGAAGCAGCAACGCCGCGUGGAGGAUGAAGGUUUUAGGAUUGUAAACUCCUUUUGUUAGAGAAGAUAAUGACGGUAUCUAACGAAUAAGCACCGGCUAACUCCGUGCCAGCAGCCGCGGUAAUACGGAGGGUGCAAGCGUUACCCGGAAUCACUGGGCGUAAAGGGCGCGUAGGCGGGAUAGCAAGUCAGAUGUGAAAUCCUAUGGCUUAACCAUAGAACUGCAUUUGAAACUGUUAUUAUAGAGUAUGGGAGAGGUAGGUGGAAUUCUUGGUGUAGGGGUAAAAUCCGUAGAGAUCAAGAGGAAUACUCAUUGCGAAGGCGACCUGCUAGAACAUAACUGACGCUGAUGCGCGAAAGCGUGGGGAGCAAACAGGAUUAGAUACCCCUGUAGUC
rnacentral:rRNA from 1 species